rnacentral:rRNA from 1 species
CCUACGGGUGGCAGCAGUGGGGAAUAUUGCACAAUGGGGGAAACCCUGAUGCAGCGACGCCGCGUGAGUGAAGAAGUAUUUCGGUACGUAAAGCUCUAUCAGCCGGGAAGAAAAUGACGGUACCUGACUAAGAAGCCCCGGCUAACUACGUGCCAGCAGCCGCGGUAAUACGUCGGGGGCAAGCGUUAUCCGGAUUUACUGCGGGUAAAGGGAGCGUAGACGGCAGGGCAAUUCCGGAGUGAAAUACCAGGGCUUAACCAUGGAACUGCUUUGGAAACUGUGCAGCUAGAGUGCAGGAGAGGUAAGCGGAAUUCGUAGGGUAGCGGUGAAAUGCGUAGAUAUUAGGAGGAACACCAGUGGCGAAGGCGGCUUACUGGACUGUAACUGACGUUGAGGCUCGAAAGCGUGGGGAGCAAACAGGAUUAGAUACCCCUGUAGUC